rnacentral:rRNA from 1 species
AUUGAACGCUGGCGGAAUGCUUUACACAUGCAAGUCGAGCGGCAGCGCGGGGCAACCUGGCGGCGAGCGGCGAACGGGUGAGUAAUACAUCGGAACGUGCCCAGACGUGGGGGAUAACUACUCGAAAGAGUGGCUAAUACCGCAUACGAUCUACGGAUGAAAGCGGGGGAUCGCAAGACCUCGCGCGUCUGGAGCGGCUGAUGGCAGAUUAGGUAGUUGGUGGGAUAAAAGCCUACCAAGCCAACGAUCUGUAGCUGGUCUGAGAGGAUGAUCAGCCACACUGGGACUGAGACACGGCCCAGACUCCUACGGGAGGCAGCAGUGGGGAAUUUUGGACAAUGGGCGAAAGCCUGAUCCAGCCAUUCCGCGUGCAGGAUGAAGGCCCUCGGGUUGUAAACUGCUUUUGUACAGAACGAAAAAGACUCUGGCUAAUACCUGGAGUCCAUGACGGUA